rnacentral:piRNA from 1 species
UGACAAGGUGAGCCCACGGUAUAGAACCA